GAUGAACGCUGGCGGCGUGCCUAAUACAUGCAAGUCGAGCGAACGGACGAGAAGCUUGCUUUUCUGAUGUUAGCGGCGGACGGGUGAGUAACACGUGGAUAACCUACCUAUAAGACUGGGAUAACUUCGGGAAACCGGAGCUAAUACCGGAUAAUAUUUUGAACCGCAUGGUUCAAAAGUGAAAGACGGUCUUGCUGUCACUUAUAGAUGGAUCCGCGCUGCAUUAGCUAGUUGGUAAGGUAACGGCUUACCAAGGCAACGAUGCAUAGCCGACCUGAGAGGGUGAUGGGCCACAUGGAAAUGGACACAGGUCCCGAAUCCCACGGGAGGGCAGAGGGGGGAAACUUCCGCCAUGGGGGAAAGGCUUACCGGAGAAACGCGGGGGGGGGGAGAAGGGCUUCGGAUUCUUAAAACCUUGUUAUUGGGGAAAAAAAAAUUGGAAAGUAACGGUGCACAUUUGAAGGGAACCAAAGAAAAAGCCCCGGGCAACUUAGGG
rnacentral:rRNA from 1 species